rnacentral:rRNA from 1 species
GACGAACGCUGGCGGCGUGCCUAAUACAUGCAAGUAGAACGCACAGUUUAUACCGUAGCUUGCUACACCAUAGACUGUGAGUUGCGAACGGGUGAGUAACGCGUAGGUAACCUGCCUGGUAGCGGGGGAUAACUAUUGGAAACGAUAGCUAAUACCGCAUAAUAUUAAUUAUUGCAUGAUAAUUGAUUGAAAGAUGCAACUGCAUCACUACCAGAUGGACCUGCGUUGUAUUAGCUAGUAGGUGAGGUAACGGCUCACCUAGGCGACGAUACAUAGCCGACCUGAGAGGGUGAUCGGCCACACUGGGAAUGAGACACGGCCCAGACUCCUACGGGAGGCAGCAGUAGGGAAUCUUCGGCAAUGGACGAAAGUCUGACCGAGCAACGCCGCGUGAGUGAAGAAGGGUGUCGGAUCGUAAAGCUCGGUUGUAAGAGAAGAACGGGUGUGAGAGUGGAAAGUUCACACUGUGACGGUAUCUGACCAGAAAGGGACGGCUAAAUACGUG